rnacentral:rRNA from 1 species
CCGUGGCGUCCGGCUGGUUGGUAGGUAGGGUAUAGAGAGAGGCGGCUACUGUCGGCGCCAGAGGCCGCCGCCGGCCACUCUGGCGGCGGCGGCGGCGGCGGACUGCUUGAACGGGGAAGGCUCGCGCCUACGAGCCCGUCGCGUGUACAGUCGAGAGGCAGACACGUUCCCUCGGCAGCUCAGCAGCGGCGGCCCCACGGCCACGACCAGCCCUACGAGCUCCAGCUCCUUGGAACAGCGGCGACGACGGCGCAGGAGGACGCGGGGCUCUCCCCGACGGCGGCAGCGCACGACGGCCUUGUUCGUCGUCCCCUCGAAGGCGAACCACGCACGCCGAGGAAGGAAGCCGUCUUCGUCGUCCCCCUACGUUACCCGGUAGUUCUGAUACCGUCUGCUGUUAGGUCUGUUAAGACCGUUAUCGUGAGCCGACAAAUUACGUUAAGUUAGAAAAAAUUUCUUCAACAGACCGUUCGACUUCUUUCAUUCAUCUCCCAAAGGUCAUUUCUAGGAUAAGAAGGACUAUCCUAAAAUGACACGGUGCCGUAAACGAUGGCAGUAGCCCGUUUGUCCGCUGACCCUGUAUGAAAGACGGCCGGAACGACAACGGUAGCAGCUCCAAUAACCGCGAGAGUACAUGUCCCGAAGGAAACGCGAAGAACCGUCCUACUUCUUAUACUAAAGGUAUAAGUUAAUGACCUUUCGGCCCGAGUGCGAACCUAACAAGAACCUAAGCAAGUUCAUACUUCACCUACUUGAGGAACUUAGUACAUCAGGCAAGUUGAAACUCUAAUUAUAUAAAUGACCCGAAACCAUUUUAAAACGAGGUCUAAAAUCAUAGAACCAAGUAGGCGGUUUACAACGAGUUCAAUGCGGACCUCGACGUAUGUACUACUGGGACUACCGCGUAAACGUAGGUACUACUAGGGCUACCCCGUAAGGAGUACCGUCUGCGACACGAGGACGAGGGAGUAGUAGAAGAGGGAGUCGCUCGUAGAAGAACACGACGAGGGUGAUCCUGUCCGAGGUGGGGGAGGAGACCAGAACCGUAGGACGGUACGGCGUUCUGUCGGACGUGUGGUAGUAGAGGUAGCCUUGCUCAGUUUUCGCCCUAUUCUAACGCCGAACGGGCACUAGUACGGCCCGUAUUAUUGGACCUUAAGAAACCCUCCGGACCGGAUGUGUCCUCCACAAGUGGACGUUGUUUCCCGCUUCAGCUCCACGUCUCAGUUUUACAAGCCAAAGCGAUC